AUGAACGCUGGCGGCGUGCCUAAUACAUGCAAGUCGAGCGAACAGAUGAGGAGCUUGCUCCUCUGACGUUAGCGGCGGACGGGUGAGUAACACGUGGAUAACCUACCUAUAAGACUGGGAUAACUUCGGGAAACCGGAGCUAAUACCGGAUAAUAUAUUGAACCGCAUGGUUCAAUAGUGAAAGACGGUUUUGCUGUCACUUAUAGAUGGAUCCGCGCCGCAUUAGCUAGUUGGUAAGGUAACGGCUUACCAAGGCAACGAUGCGUAGCCGACCUGAGAGGGUGAUCGGCCACACUGGAACUGAGACACGGUCCAGACUCCUACGGGAGGCAGCAGUAGGGAAUCUUCCGCAAUGGGCGAAAGCCUGACGGAGCAACGCCGCGUGAGUGAUGAAGGUCUUCGGAUCGUAAAACUCUGUUAUUAGGGAAGAACAAAUGUGCAAGUAACUAUGCACGUCUUGACGGUACCUAAUCAGAAAGCCACGGCUAACUACGUG
rnacentral:rRNA from 1 species